rnacentral:rRNA from 1 species
AGCAGCCGCGGUAAUUCCAGCUCCAAUAGCGUAUAUUAAAGUUGUUGCAGUUAAAAAGCUCGUAGUUGAAUUUCGGGAUCAAUAUAUCGGUCGUGCCUUGGUACGUACUGGUAUCAUUGGUUUCUCCUUUCUGACGAACCAUGAUGUCAUUAAUUUGGUGUUAUGGGAAGUUAGGACUGUUACUUUGAAAAAUUAGAGUGUUUAAAGCAGGCUUUAGCUUGAAUACAUUAGCAUGGAAUAAUGAAAUAGGACGUUCGAACCUAUUUUGUUGGUUUCUAGGAUCAACGUAAUGAUUAAUAGGGAUAGUUGGGGGCAUUAGUAUUCAAUUGUCAGAGGUGAAAUUCUUGGAUUUA